rnacentral:rRNA from 1 species
GAUCCUGGCUCAGGAUGAACGCUGGCGGCGUGCUUAACACAUGCAAGUCGAACGAAGCACUUUAUUACGAUUUCUUCGGAAUGACGAUUUGGUGACUGAGUGGCGGACGGGUGAGUAACGCGUGGGUAACCUGCCUUAUACAGGGGGGAUAACAGUUGGAAACGGCUGCUAAUACCGCAUAAGCGCACAGGGUCGCAUGACCUGGUGUGAAAAACUCCGGUGGUAUGAGAUGGACCCGCGUUGGAUUAGCUGGUUGGUGAGGUAACGGCCCACCAAGGCGACGAUCCAUAGCCGACCUGAGAGGGUGACCGGCCACAUUGGGACUGAGACACGGCCCAAACUCCUACGGGAGGCAGCAGUGGGGAAUAUUGCACAAUGGGCGAAAGCCUGAUGCAGCGACGCCGCGUGAGCGAAGAAGUAUUUCGGUAUGUAAAGCUCUAUCAGCAGGGAAGAUAAUGACGGUACCUGACUAAGAAGCACCGGCUAAAUACGUG